rnacentral:rRNA from 1 species
AUGUGGUUUAAUUCGUACGCAACGCGCAGAACCUUACCUGGUCUUGACAUCUCGGGAAUCAUUUGGAAACAUAUGAGUGCCUCGCAAGAGGAGCCCGAUGACAGGUGCUGCAUGGCUGUCGUCAGCUCGUGUCGUGGGAUGUUGGGUUAAGUCCCGCAACGAGCGCAACCCUUGUCUUUAGUUGCCAUCAUUAAGUUGGGCACUCUAAAGAGACUGCCGGUGUCAAACCGGAGGAAGGUGGGGAUGACGUCAAGUCCUCAUGGCCUUUAUGACCAGGGCUACACACGUGCUACAAUGGCCGGUACAAAGAGUUGCAAUACCGCGAGGUGGAGCUAAUCUCAUAAAGCCGGUCUCAGUUCGGAUUGGAGUCUGCAACUCGACUCCAUGAAGUUGGAAUCGCUAGUAAUCGCGGAUCAGCACGCCCGCGGUUCCGAAUACGUUCCGGGCCUU